AUGCACGCUGGCGGCGUGCCUAAUCCAUGCCAGUCGAGCGAACAGACGAGGAGCUUGCUCCUCUGACGUUAGCGGCGGACGGGUGAGUAACACGUGGAUAACCUACCUAUAAGACUGGGAUAACUUCGGGAAACCGGAGCUAAUACCGGAUAAUAUAUUGAACCGCAUGGUUCCAUAGUGAAAGACGGUUUUGCUGUCACUUAUAGAUGGAUCCGCGCCGCAUUAGCUAGUUGGUAAGGUAACGGCUUACCAAGGCAACGAUGCGUAGCCGACCUGAGAGGGUGAUCGGCCACACUGGAACUGAGACACGGUCCAGACUCCUACGGGAGGCAGCAGUAGGGAAUCUUCCGCAAUGGGCGAAAGCCUGACGGAGCAACGCCGCGUGAGUGAUGAAGGUCUUCGGAUCGUAAAACUCUGUUAUUAGGGAAGAACAAAUGUGUAAGUAACUAUGCACGUCUUGACGGUACCUAAUCAGAAAGCCACGGCUAACUACGUG
rnacentral:rRNA from 1 species